CGCCAGCUUCCCGCGCUCCCCCGGGGAGACCCGCGCCGCGGUGCCCCUGCGCCUGCCCCUCCGCCCCGGGCGGCGCCCUCCGCUUCAGUAUGGCACUUGGAAAAUUUUAAAUUGCAUAUGUGGCUCACCUUUGUGGCUUGCAUCACAUUUCCACUGGGCAGCACGGACCUAGAAUUUCAUUUUUGACUCAGGCCACCCUGGUCAUGUCCUGGUAAUCUACAUCUACGUAAGAACUGUUUGCUCGAAUCAAGACUCCACUAACAGCAACCGUCAAGAGGAAUCUUGGGAUAGAUGGUGGAUGAUAAAAGCGUUUUAGACUGAUGGCUUCUGAAGUCUGGAACAGUCAAGAUGGAGGACCCAGAUAAACCCUGGGCCACAAACGGAUGUUUGUCUGUAUAACUUGUGGUUAAACAGAUAAUAGCUCAAAAGAAAAAAAUGUAUUCCUGAGCGACUCCGAAGUAGAUGCUGUUGGAAAUGCUGCCAUCUUGCCCACUCUUCCCCCUCCAAGGAAGGUACCAUCUGAGAAGGCUAUUGGAACAUACUGUUCCCUCAGAGCAGGGAGAGGGAAUUGGAGGCUGUGCUAACACAGGAUAGAUGCUCCUGAAGAAUCAGAUGCAAUGCAGGUCACGAGAUAGCUUCCAGCUUUUAUUUGGACAAUGGCAAGCACUGGUUGGAUAAGCAGGUAUGCUUAGAAUGGGAAGAGAUGGGAUAGAAGAGAACCAGAGAGAAGGGUGCUUGAGGAAUACGAAGAAUAAAGGGAUUUCAAGAAAGGUGCGCUCCACAGAGUCAAAUGUUGCCGAGAGGACAAAUAAGCCAAGGUUGGAAAACUGUUGACCGUGACGUUGAGGAGGAGGAAGAGGGCAGUAA